CAAUGGCAUCAAAGGUGUGGAGACAAAAAUCGAACCAAGCAUGUGCACCCAUUAGUCUGUAGCCCUAUUUUAUCAUCCUCAAACAGAAACCCAAACCCUCGAAGCUUUCGUCAUCCAUUUUCUCGCUCACCUGCUCUGCUAACUGCUGCUCUUGUUCCUAGCAAAAAUGAGCGGCCGUUCAAGUCGAACCCUUUACGUUGGUAAUCUCCCUGGGGAUAUUCGCGAGCGGGAAGUGGAAGAUUUGUUCUAUAAGUAUGGGCCAAUUGUUGACAUUGAUUUGAAGAUACCACCAAGGCCUCCAGGGUAUGCUUUUAUUGAGUUUGAAGAAGCCCGUGAUGCUGAAGAUGCUAUUCGUGGUCGCGAUGGAUAUAACUUUGAUGGGAAUCGUUUACGUGUAGAACUGGCACAUGGUGGGCGAGGACACUCAUCAUCAAUUGAUCGCCAUAGUAAUCACAGUGCUGGGGGUGGCCGUGGUGGAGUCUCUAGGCGCUCAGAAUAUCGUGUGAUGGUCACUGGAUUACCCUCUUCCGCCUCAUGGCAGGAUCUGAAGGAUCAUAUGCGCCGAGCUGGAGACGUUUGCUUCUCACAGGUGUUCCGUGAUGCUAGUAGUGGCACCACUGGAGUCGUGGAUUAUACCAACCACGAUGACAUGAAAUAUGCAAUCAGGAAACUUGAUGACUCUGAGUUUCGAAAUGCUUUUUCACGGUCAUAUAUACGGGUGAAAGCAUACGACUCAAGACGGAGCCUUUCUAGGAGCCGGAGUCGUAGUCGUUCUUACUCGAAAAGUCCUAGCCGCAGUCGCAGCAAGAGUCGAAGCCGGAGCCAAAGCAAGUCUCCUCCAAAGGCCAAAUCUUCACGCCGUUCUCCAUCUAAAUCCCGUUCGAGAUCUGUUUCUUCCCGUUCUCGUUCGGGGUCAAGGCCACGCUCUGCAUCAAGAUAUGGCUUUAUGCGGCGAUUUGGGGAUGCAUAUUAGGAAACAUGAUGGGAUAUGAUGCAAAUGCCUGCAACUCAUUUGGUUGUGGAGUGUUUGCACAUGGGAGCUAGAGAGGGACAAAGAGGAUGGGGGUUGAUACUAAAGCUGGAUUACUGUCUCUAAGUGCUAUUGGGAUGCCGCACCGAUCGGUGGUAGAAACAAAUUCAAAAUUCACUUUCCUCGUCCAACAUCACGACGCCUAUAGGAGUUGCGCCCAGGAUUUAUGGAUUUUGGUGGUACUCAAGGGAAAAAAGUUCUUCCCUUAUCCUCUAAUAUCUUAAUAGCUUGAAGUAACUAUUGUUUUGCUUUUAUUUAUUUCUCAAUUUUUUUUUUAAUCUGAUCAUCUAGGUUUAUAGUGACCUGCUGGGUGAGGUUCCUUUUGUAUUUUUGGCUGGGAAUUGAAUCUCUAAUGCUAUCUGUUGAGUUCUGCUAAAAGUUUUAUUGGUUGUUUUGCCA